rnacentral:rRNA from 1 species
UACCAGGGAUGCAAGCGUUAUCCGGAAUUAUUGGGCGUAAAGCGUUUGUAGGCGGGCGAGUGUGUUUAAUGUUAAAUCUUAAAGCUCAACUUUGAAAUUGCGUUAAAAACUGCUUGUCUUGAGUAUGGUAGGGGUAAAGGGAAUUCCCAGUGUAGCGGUGAAAUGCGUAGAUAUUGGGAAGAACACUAAACAGCGAAGGCACUUUACUAGGCUAAUACUGACGCUGAGAAACGAAAGGUAAGGUAGCGAAACGGAUUAGAUACCCGUGUAGUCUUACCCGUAAACUAUGGACACUAUACGGUAAAUUUUUAAUUUACUGUUAAAGCUAACGCGUUAAGUGUCCCGCCUGGGGAGUAUGCUUGCAAAAGUGAAACUCAAAGGAAUUGACGGGGGCCCGCACAAGCGGUGGAGCAUGUGGUUUAAUUCGACGGUACACGAAGAACCUUACCAGGAUUUGACAUGCUAGAUAGUUGCUUGAAAGAGUAACGUGCCGUAAGGAAUCUAGACACAGGUGGUGCAUGGCUGUCGUCAGUUCGUGUUGUGAAAUGUUGGGUUAAGUCCCGCAACGAACGCAACCCUUGUCUUUAGUUAUUUUCUAAAGAGACUGCCUGUAAUAAACAGGAGGAAGGUAAGGAUGAGGUCAAGUCAUCAUGCCCCUUAUGUCCUGGGCUACACACGUGCUACAAUGGGAAAGACAAUGAGCUGCAAAUCUGUAAAUUUAAGCAAAUCUCUUAAACUUUCUCGUAGUUCGGAUUGUGGGCUGCAACUCGCCCACAUGAAGUUGGAAUCGCUAGUAAUCGCCAGUCAGCUAUAUGGCGGUGAAUCCGUUCCCGGGCCU